AACGAACGCUGGCGGCAUGCCUAACACAUGCAAGUCGAACGAGACCUUCGGGUCUAGUGGCGCACGGGUUCGUAACGCGUGGGAACCUGCCCUUAGGUUCGGAAUAACUCCCCGAAAGGGGUGCUAAUACCGGAUAAUGUCUUCGGACCAAAGAUUUAUCGCCUUUGGAUGUGCCCGCGUUGGAUUAGCUAGUUGGUAGGGUAAAAGCCUACCAAGGCGACGAUCCAUAGCUGGUCUGAGAGGAUGAUCAGCCACACUGGGACUGAGACACGGCCCAGACUCCUACGGGAGGCAGCAGUGGGGAAUAUUGGACAAUGGGCGAAAGCAUGAUCCAGCAAUGCCGCGUGAGUGAUGAAGGCAUUAGGGUUGUAAAGCGCUUUUACCCGGGAUGAUAAUGACAGUACCGGGAGAAUAAGCUCCGGCUAACUCCGUG
rnacentral:rRNA from 1 species